UACGUAGGGUGCAAGCGUUUGUCCGGAAUUAUUGGGCGUAAAGGGCUCGUAGGCGGUCCGUCACGUCGGGAGUGAAAACUUGGGGCUUAACCCCAAGCCUGCUUCCGAUACGGGCGGACUAGAGGUAGGCAGGGGAGAACGGAAUUCCUGGUGUAGCGGUGAAAUGCGCAGAUAUCAGGAGGAACACCGAUGGCGAAGGCAGGUCUCUGGGCAUUAACUGACGCUGAGGAGCGAAAGCAUGGGGAGCGAACAGG
rnacentral:rRNA from 1 species